GCGGUGUACUCGGCGUAGUCGCAUGCGCUGGGUUUCCCUCAAGUAACUUUCCUUGCUGACGACAGAGUUGCUCUCUAAAGUUGGGGUGUCCCAGUAGACGCUGGCCCGAAAGCCGUUCUCGGGCCUCAUCGGCGGCUGCAGCCCCAUCCGAAAUGCAGCACUGGGUGAGACACCCCGUGCUCUGGAGACCGCAGAGCUCGCCCUUGGAGAAGAACCGCUGGAUUUCACUUUGAACUCUCUCCUGCUUGCGCACCUGGAAAUUCCUGGCAGUGAUCAAACCUGCACCACAGCAGUAACCAGAGCCACAGCAGUGACAAUACAAGAUCCCUAACCCCCUGCACCACAGUGGUUUCCCAGGGAAAGUGUGGAGACAUAGACUGUUUCCAGGCAGCAGUGGAUGCAGGAGGAAGGUGA
ensembl:lncRNA